rnacentral:snRNA from 1 species
AUCUCUUUUCGGCCUUUUGGCUUAGCCCAAAGUGUAGUAUCUGUUCUUAUCAGCUUAAUAUACAGCCAUUCCAUGCAAUUUAUGCUCUUGGUGUUAUAUAAAUUUAUCCUAAAUAUCAGGAACUCUUGCCUUGGUGGUGUAGUGGUCAAAACGGUCGCCUGGUAAUCAGGAGGGCGUAGAAAUU